rnacentral:snRNA from 1 species
UGAUGUGAGGGCAAUCUGGCUGUGACAUCUGUCACUCCAUUGAUUGCCAGCAUUGAUUUGGCUGAUCUGGCUGGCUAGGCAGGUAUCCCCUUCUUCCCACACUGCUCCACAUGCAUCCUUCCUGAAGCUAGUCAAAGAGGACAACCAUCCUGAUAAAGCAGGACCAGUCUUCAGUCAAGGGUAUAUGAAUAGCUGCUCUUUCUAGCUAGAAUCUCCAAACAAACUCUCAAGGCCCAUUGUAGGAGAAUGUAGAGUAGUCAAACUUCCAAGAUUUCAGACACAUGCAAAUGAGGCGCUGCAUGUGGCAAUCUGCCUUU